rnacentral:rRNA from 1 species
AUACGUAGGGUGCGAGCGUUAAUCGGAAUUACUGGGCGUAAAGCGUGCGCAGGCGGUUUUGUAAGACCGAUGUGAAAUCCCCGGGCUCAACCUGGGAACUGCAUUGGUGACUGCAAGGCUGGAGUGCGGCAGAGGGGGAUGGAAUUCCGCGUGUAGCAGUGAAAUGCGUAGAUAUGCGGAGGAACACCGAUGGCGAAGGCAAUCCCCUGGGCCUGCACUGACGCUCAUGCACGAAAGCGUGGGGAGCAAACAGGAUUAGAUACCCUGGUAGUCCACGCCCUAAACGAUGUCAACUGGUUGUUGGGUAUUUGCUUACUCAGUAACGAAGCUAACGCGUGAAGUUGACCGCCUGGGGAGUACGGCCGCAAGGUUGAA